rnacentral:piRNA from 1 species
UAAACCCUCGGGCUAGAAAUCGUACCACUGU